rnacentral:rRNA from 1 species
AUUGAACGCUGGCGGCAUGCUUUACACAUGCAAGUCGAACGGUAGCAGGGAGCUUGCUCCGCUGACGAGUGGCGAACGGGUGAGUAAUGCGUCGGAACGUGCCGAGUAGUGGGGGAUAACGCAGCGAAAGUUGUGCUAAUACCGCAUACGUACCGAGGUAGAAAGUGGGGGACCUUCGGGCCUCACGCUAUUCGAGCGGCCGACGUCUGAUUAGCUAGUAGGUGAGGUAAAGGCUCACCUAGGCGACGAUCAGUAGCGGGUCUGAGAGGAUGAUCCGCCACACUGGGACGGAGACACGGCCCAGACUCCUACGGGAGGCAGCAGUGGGGAAUUUUGGACAAUGGGCGAAAGCCUGAUCCAGCCAUGCCGCGUGUCUGAAGAAGGCCUUCGGGUUGUAAAGGACUUUUGUCGGGGAGGAAAUCCCCAGCGCUAAUACCGCUGGGGGAUGACAGUACCUGAAGAAUAAGCACCGGCUAACUACGUGCCAGCCGCCGCCGUAAGAC